rnacentral:Y_RNA from 1 species
AGCCAGUUGAGUGUAGUGGAUUUUACAAUUAUUGAUCACAACCAGUUACAGAUUUCUUCGGCCCUUCUUCACUACCUCUACUUCACUGACUAGCCCAAA